GGACCCAUGCAGCAAUAGAAACCGAGGUGAAAACACAGAUGCCACCAACCUGCAAACCGAACGGCAUGAGUCAGUGACAUCAGCCCCAAGACAUGUUUUGAGCCCAUGCAAUGGUCCAAGUCACAGGGAGGGUCAGCUUACUUGUUCUACCAACACAUCAACGUCAGGAAGAGGCAUUUGUGCCAGAAUUUCAUCUACUGCAGAGACAGCUGGCUAAUUUGAUCAUUCCAGUGCUGCUGGGCUUGCCCGCACAAGUAAACCACUUGUACUCCAACCCUUGUCUCAGGGUCUGCUUCCAGGGGAACUCAAACUAAGAUGGGCAGUGAGGGCAGGCUUCUCUCAAAGGUGCCACCGGAGCACAUACCUAAUCCCGAGAAGCAGGCAGCUAAGCAGGGGAAGAGAAGGAAGAAGCUAUCCUAGCCGAGAUUCACAGUCCGUUUCAGAUGUCCUUCAUUCGCUUGGUAUUAAUUAAGCAUCUACUCUGUGGAAGGCACUAGCACUUUAGCAUGGAAAACCUCCUGAAGGUGCUGGAUGUCCAGACUGCAGCGACUGAAGGACCUGAGGACGAUGAUCUGGAACGGAAGCGUGCAAGACUGAGCAGGAACACAGCUCUACGUCUGGGGGCAGCUGGGGGCGCCAGCCGUGCCUGCUAAGUCACCUAAGGAUGUGUGACUUGCCAGGGAAGAGUAGACGGAGAUCAGAAAUCGUCUUGUCUCCUGAUCCGACUGGCAUGCUACCGACUUUCCAGCAAUUAUUCUCGGUUUUUCUCUGAAGGCGGGCACUGAUACCUUUUUAAAAAUUGAUACCUCUGAGACAAAGUAUGGGAGACGCAAGAGAAGUCACCCACUUCAGUUCCCUUUCCUUUUGGGUGGUGACAUCUACAGCCUCAGUGCUUUCGUGGACCCAGAUAACUGGUUUGAUAGUUUGGGGAUGGAGAAAGAACCAAACAUAUCUAACAGGCUUUUUCCACUGGAGUGAAAGGAGAGAUUUUAUUUAACCUGCAUUUUAAUGUACAGCCAGCUUCUCCUGAGACCUCUGGGAGUCCUCAAAUCUGUAAACACAGAAGCUUCAGACUUCACCACUGGGUGGCCUGUUUCCACCCCGCCUGGUCCUCAUGCCCUUCGUGAAUUUCUCUGUCCGGGAGUCUGGGCCGGGCCUGUGACCCGGCUCAUUCUGUCGGUAAUACAAGUCACAGGCCCGGCCUUGAGAAGGCCUAGAAGCUUCUGCCUUUACAGUCUUGGGGACCCUAAACCACUAGGUAAGAAGUCCUAUUCCCUUGCUGGAGAGACCAUGCGGAGAGGCUGCUUGGAGAGGGAGAGGUCCUGAGACAACGCGGAAAGAGUGUAGCCAGCCCAGCAGCCCAGCUGAACCCAGCCCCCAGGUGACCCACUAGCAGACGGACUACCAGGGAGACUAGAAGAACUGCCCAGGGAGCUCAUCCCAGACUCCAGCAUCUUGAACCAACAGGUGGGCUCUUGUUUCUUAAGCCAGUAAGCUUUAGGGUAGUUUCUUAUGCAACAAUAAACAAAACAACCCCAAUGAGCAAUCACCUUGAGUCCAGUGACUGUGCUCACCUUGCCCAACCUCCACCAAAUCACCAAGGUGCCUUUUAACCUGGCACUGUAGAGUCCCUCUCUCAUUGCAUGGCUGCUUUUCACAAGGAAAUAAAUAUCUUUAUUAUUGCACAAUAGUUACUGCCUACCCAGUGAUGAGUAGACCAAAAAUUUUUAAAGGAAAAAAAAAAAAAAGCCUCGUUGGCCUGUCAGAGCUGGAGAUCGGGGCUGGGUCUCCCUUGAAGUAGUGCGUUCCUACGUAUCAAUUUCCUAUGCUUGGGGCUCAAAUUCAUGCCUCAGCAAAUUUACAAAUGACUCCCUGUCAUGGACCUUCAAGGUCACUCACUGAGAGAGGAAACUCCGAAUAUUAAAGCCCGAGUAUCGGGCUCAGCGCUGAUGGGACACACCCGAGAGGGCUAGACAUGGAGUCCACCAGCUCAGAGAGGCAGUGUAGUUAAAUACCCAGCGCCAGAUUCUGGAGCCAGAUUGCCUGGGAUCAAGCCCCAGAUCUGGCACCUGUUAUCCGUACAACCUUGGGCAAGUUACUUAAUCUCUGUGCCUCAGCGUCGUCAUCCUAAAGUGAGGAUAAUAAUAGUCCCUACUUCCCAGGGUUACCGCGAAGAUUAGAUGAGCUAUUGUACGUAUAGGACAUAGACCAGUAACCUCGCUAUUCUAAGCCUGACCAUAAGUGAUUCUAUACUAAGAACUGAAAAAAAAAAAUCUCACAGGGAUUUUACAUAAUAUGAAUAGCUGUUUCUAGUGAUUAUACACAACGAAAGGAUAUCCAGGGACCGUAUACCAACCAGCCUUCUGAAACUAUAUCCCAUAGAACUGGUUCGGAUCCUAGCCCUGCCGUAAACUAGCUGUGUCACACCAGGCAGGUGAUUUAUAACAUGAGGAUAAUGACAAUGACCUUGCCUAAAGAGGCUAGACCAGAUGGUCCCUCUAGGAGCCUUUUAUAUCUCUAUACCUUGCCAAAUCCCUGCGAGACAGGAAAGGCCGGUGGAAUUACCACCAUUUGUAAGAUGGAGAUCAGUAUUUAGCUACAUGACUUGUCCAGAGCCAAACCCAAGUCCCAGGGGCGUCUUUCACCCUGGAGGGCUUUUAGCCAUGGCACAGACAUUUCCCAAUCUCCCUUGUAGGUAGCCGUGGCCAUGUGACUGAGUUCUAGCCAGCAGACUGUGGUUGGAGAGGAGGCGUGCUACUUCCAGACAAUCCUCCAUGCUCUCUUUAUUGCCUUCUGCUGGCUAGAUGCAGAGGAACCCAGGAAGGACUCCGAGUCCCUGUGAGAUAGCAGAGUCACAAGAAGGCAGAAGACCAGGUUCCAUAUCAUUACAAGCCAAAAGUUGAUUAGACCUUAUGUGAUAAGAAAUAAAUGCAUUGUGUUAAACUCCUGAGAUUUGGGGCUUGUAAUAGUAUUUGGCUUUGCUGACCAAUACGGAUGCUCAGUGUCUCUAGCGGUUUGCUGGUUCAGGUUGUGAACUUCAAGAGGAAGCAGCCCUCUUUUGUGUAAGAGUGAGGUAUUGUUGACCUCUGCUUGCUACAGGCAGAGCAAAGUCGGUGACGUUUUUGUAAAAUCUGAAUCCCACUCUGGGUCUUCCCAUCUACUCUUCUGCGUCGCCAGACUUCGCUCCUGUCGCACUGGGCCUUUAGGCUACAUUGAAUCUGCAGUCCUUUUGCAUCUUUUGUAGGGAACACAAAGAUGGCGGAACAUUUUAAAGAUAAACUAGCAACUGGUUUUUAAGUCUCUACUAGAUGACUAGCGGAAUGAGGGAUUUCUCAGACAUGCUUUCAGUAUCCUGGUCUGUUCCUUCCCCCAAAUCAAGCUCUCUACCUUAACAUUUGCCCAGUGAUUACAUUUAUGAUCUACAGAAAAUAAAGGUAAACUUUUAAAAAUCACAGUUCACUUUGGAAGGGAGGGGAGAAUUACCUGGUAGGUUCCAUCUUGAAUAGCAAACUGGUGAUGGGAUUUGUACCUUCCCUCCCAGAUUCCCAGGCUCUUUAGUUUCUUUCUUUCACUGUAGACAAUUAGGCAUUUACAUUUUUCAGCGAUUACCCAUGCAUUUUUCAAAAAUAAAAAAUACCAUAGUUCAAUCAAUCAAGAACAGAGGGGGGGCUUUUUUCCCUUCAAGCUGGACUU